CUGACCUCUGUUCUUUAUGCUCACUCAGUCAUCUUAGUUCCAUCUUAGCCUUUGACCUCUUGAUCCAUCUCUUACAUAUCAGAGUCUGAACCAUCACUUCUUGUCCAUUCUCUCUCCCAUUUCUUUGUCCCUAUUACAUCAAAGCUAGUGGAGGUGAUAGAAUUCCAGUUGAGCUAUUCCAAAUCCUGAAAGAUGAUGCUGUGAAAGUGCUGCACUCAAUAUGCCAGCAAAUUUGGAAAACUCAGCAGUGGCCACAGGACUGGAAAAGACUGCAACUCUAUACAGAAAAGAAAAAGGCAAAUGCACCUCACAG
ensembl:lncRNA